UACAGAGGGGGCAAGCGUUUGUUCGGAAUUACUGGGCGUAAAAGGGCGCGUAGGCGGCCUGCUAAGUCGAACGUGAAAUCCCCGAGCUCAACUCGGGAACUGCGUCCGAUACUGGCAGGCUUGAAUCCGGGAGAGGGAUGCGGAAUUCCACGUGUAGCAGUGAAAUGCGUAGAUAUGUGGAGGAACACCGAUGGCGAAGGCAGCCCCUGGGUCAAGACUGACGCUCGAUGCACGAAAGCGUGGGGAGCAAACAGG
rnacentral:rRNA from 1 species